GACACCUUGCUGUAGAAGGAUGUUUGGGACAUUACAAAUCUAAAUGUCAAGCCAUUAAUGUCUCUGCGCUCAUUAUUUCUAUACCACAGCUUAGCUGGUGCACCGGGAAAUAGAGAAUUGGGCAGAGUUCCCAUCCUGUGGAGCUUGCAGUCAGAAAAAUCCUCUACACACCAAGAAGGCUGGCAGAGUAGCAGUUGAUUCGCAGUGGGAGCCCAGAGAGGGAAGGGAACAACUAGAUUGCCAUUCCAGAAGUGGCUGUGUGGUACUUAGAGAGCUGGGUACCAGCUGCAGCGGGCACAGAUUUCCAGAGCUUUCUGUUCAGUGAGGAGAAGGCUGCAGGUUCAGGUUGCCCAGAGUCUCAGUUUGAGUAAGAACUGCAGAAGAUGUGCUGAAUUCAAGAGCUGCAGCUUUCUACAUCUGUUUUUAGGGAUGCUUGAUGGAAGUGAUGCCUCCAAAAGAAGCCUGUUCUGUCUUCAGUGAAGCAGAGAAAUGCAGUCGGGCUCACCCAGAUGAACCAGAUGCUCUGCAGUAUCUCAGUCCUCUAACAACCUUGUCACGAUACUUGAAUGAGUUGGUGCUGAAUCCAGCUGGAUGGCAGCCCGGGAGACGGCCGUCCCCAGCUCAGCCACAGCAAGGGACAAACCCAGGCCAAAGCCAGGAGCUUUCUCUCUGCACACUCUCACCCAAGGGCUAUUUUCAGGGAGGAACUUUUUUUCAGGAAGAGUAGUUCAGUGCCUCAGGAAGGGUGACCAUUCAUUCCCUGGUCUCUCUGGCUAUGGGUAGAAAAUAAAAUAAAACAACACAAAGUAGCGUACCAUGACUCACAUCCACAUGAUUCAACCCUUUCCCCCCAUUCCUGCAUCCCAAGCAGGUGGCCCCAUGUAGAUGGUCUACAGGGAACAAUCCUUGGUUUUUGAUGUAUUCCAAGGCAUCAUCUGGGAGAGCAGUAGCUGUUACAGGCCAGAGCCAUGACAGGAGGGUUCUAAYAGUGACACAACAUAGGAGAUCAUGGAUCCAAACUGUGCCCUUCUCCAUCUGCAUUUACAUCACAGAUACARCCUCUGUGAAAGCUGUGAGCAGGGCCUUUGUGGUUUAGACAACAGAUAUGGCAAAGCAGUAAAGCUCAGUUAAUAUUCCAAAAUAAAGCAGGACAGGUAUUUAUUGUAGAAAAGUCCCCAGAGUGCCACAGUUAGUGUUAUGCCCUUUCUAUAAAAUUUUACUACCAGUUUAUAGAAUUCCACAGAGAAGAUUAUCAAGGUGCAAUCUUUGUUACAUUCCAGUCCAAAUCUCUGUGUGGCUUCUAMGUAUGUGCAGUAAGUGUGUCUCUAAAUGGACUUGUCCCUGGUCACAUGGGCAGUGUGUCAUGCCAGAAUUGAUAUCAUCAUUGGAUUAUCCUCCUUGUUAGCACUUCAAAUCUCUGUAAUGCACUUUGAAGUCUUCAGAGGAAGAGCUUCAUGGGAAUAUUUGGGGAGCCUGAUUCAGUUCUUAAUUGGACUGACUCAUGUUGARUCACCAGGAUAUCCAUUAGCUGCAUCUUUAAAAUCCAACACCGACAUGCAGAUUUUCAGUGGUCUGGGAGGGACUCAGACACCCCCAGCAGCUCCUGAGAUUCCCUAGGAUUGGGAUAUCUGCUUCAAUUGUAGAAAGUGCUGAUUUCUGCUGCAGCAGCCAGCACAGCUCCAGCUGCCAAAUCAUCCCAUUGCUCUAUUCUCCUGAUGCCUGGAUGACCAACUGCUUGCCAGGAAGCUCUUGGAAAUAUUCCCCCCUCCCUGUCUGCGGCAUCACUGGCAUCUUUUACACACAGGGAACCCACCACACCCACACCUCCCAUCUUGGCGACCAAGAUGGAGCCAAAGUUUAAAUGGAGCAAAGUUUAAAAUGCAAGGAGCAUUUUCCUUUUCAUUUCUAGGAAAGGCUUCUUAUUCCGUAAAUGCUCCUUGAACAAAGCAGCAAAAGGCAGUGAGUAAAGCAUCUGAUGACUAAAAUAAUUGAGGUUGUGGGAAGCAGCAGGAUUUGAUGUCAAAUACAAAUCUGAGUGUGGUUCACUUCACCCAACUCCAGCCAUCUGAAGUUAAGCAUUCAGCCUAAACAAGGCACCCAAGCCCUGAUCUGUUGGCAGAGGGGACGAGCACUGAGAGCUGACUCAUCCCCUCACUUUGUUCUGCUGUGCUGAAAUGAGUUGUCCUUUGAAGCUGCUUCCUAAUGCCACUUCCUAAUACUCAGCAAAAUAURUAGAGAAUCUGGAGUGGGCAGUUCACUGAUGUUAAACAGCUAACCUUAGGUAAGAUAAAGCUAAAAUUGAUACAUUGCCAUGUGCCCAGGACCACAGGUCCAUGGGAUCAGCAAUUCCAUGAUUCCAUGGAUGCCAGCAAUGCUUCACUGAACCUCGUUACAGUCUGUCCAUGUAUUCAGAGUUUCUUGGCAACUCUUUUUUCCUUUAUACGUGGCAUUUGUAGCAGAUUUUUGGCUUAUUACCACUCCUUUUAGGGAAGGAAAAGGGGAGACAACGCUACAGCCCACCUUGUGAAUCUCUGUCCUAUAAGUCUCUUUCCUAGAGGAAAAAAAUACUUGCUUCCUUCCAUUACAACAAUAGCACAGAAUGGAUGGCAGAGGAGAGAAUGAGAAAUUCCAGUUUUUAGGAUAAUGAAGGAAAAAAAUUGGGCCACUCAGUCAUAAAAUCAAACUUUGGCAAACUUGGCCAAACCCACAUGUGUUCUAGACCUACUUUACUUUUCUUUGAGGAUGCAGAGAAGGAUCUACAAAUCCCAGUAGCAUUAUGGGGCUGCUGAAAUUUCCACCAGGUAGAUUCAAUAUGAGACAAGAGUUGCAAACCUUUGUUUGAUGGACUAAAGAAAAUCAGGGUGUUUGCAAAAUUAAAGUACUAACACUACAGCCUUAUCUAGGGUGUGAWUUUGCUUUUUCAUUUUGAUAAGAUUGGAAAUCUAAAACUAAGAAAGUGAGUUCUUAGGCUCGCUUAAAAAAACCCACUAAACAAUGUAAAUGAUCUGUGACAACUCUCUCUGAGCAGCAGAAGGUUUGACUUGAGAAUAACUGAGCAAUUAAAUAUUGAAUAUAAUGAGAAUAAUUUCUUUGUGUUYCUUACGACAUUUCUUGGUUAAUUAUAUCAUGCGUCUGUUGAAUAUGUAAAGCUUGCUGCUAAAAAUGUUCCACUUCUAAAAUUAAUAAAAGUAUGUCAGAGAAGGAGAUGUCUCGUGAAUAAUACCAGAAAUGUUACAAAUAAUGACGACYAUGGAGCCAACGGGCCUACUCCCACAAGCAGAAAUUAUCAGGGAUGAAUAAGAAUUGUGGGAUGACAACUGUAGUACUUUAAAUCUUUGAAAACACUUCACACGUUUUCACCCUAGAGACACCUCGAAACAACAGCAGAGAGGUGCAGGAGCUCAUCCUGUGCUGUUCUCUCCAAGAUCCCUUUGUGAUGAUUUCAGCAGGGCUGGGAUCAGCCUGUGGAAAUGGCCUGAGCUUGAGCUGGGUGUCAGGGGCAGGAUGAGCUCAGGCUCCUGCCCUCCUGCUCCAUGCAGCUCACUCAGACCACUGAGGUUUAAAAAUGGGGGAGGAAAAUCCAAAUGAAAARGCACAAAGAUGCAGAGGUGGCAGGAGAGGGGACGAGCUGAGAAAUGGUGCCUGGACCAGCUGGGUGGGCAGAAAUGGCUGAGCUUUGGCAUCCAGAGCUUCAUGGCUGUGUCAGAGCAGGCAAACGGGCAAAAAGGGCAAGUGAGAGAGGUGUCAUGUGCAGCAAAGGCAGUGAGGAAAUUCAUCUGAGCAGCUGCAUUUCCCUGCAUGUGCUGUGUCCUGCCACAACCACUGCACGACAGAGCUGGGAUGUACUGACUCUGAGUUUGUUGAGGAACUGGUA